rnacentral:tRNA from 1 species
GGGGCCAUGGUGUAAGGGUAACAUUCGUGCUUUGGGAGCAUGUGCUCUCGGUUCGAGUCCGAGUGGCCCCA